CUAACUUUCACGUUCACCUCUCACCCCCUAAGGCAGCCACUGAGACACUUCUCUAGAACCUAGGUCUCCACGGACCAGUCGAAACCACUGGAUUAGAUAACGUUUGAUGUUCUUCUAAGCAUCACCAAACCAUGAAAGACCUGGUGUCAGGUCCUGCCCUGUCUGCAGCCGCCCAGCUGCCCAGGCGUUUCCCUGUGUCCUGCCCUUCUGUGGCCUGAUCAGCUUGUUGCAGUCCUGGCCCUACCUCGAAUCAGCUGGCAAGUGGUCAGCUUGUGUGUGUGGCCUCAACGCUAUAUUGAAAAGUGUUAGGUUCUGUGGUGUUUACUACAACUACAGUGAAAUCCCGUGAAGUAAGAAAUACAUCAUCCGCAUUUCACAGAUGAGGAAACUGAGGCAUAGAAAAGAAAAAAAAUAAAGAGAAGAGCAGAUGUCUCAGCAACCUAGCUCUCAAUGAAGAAGCGUGAACAUGCUGGUAGCAAUGUG